rnacentral:rRNA from 1 species
GAAUAUUAGUCAAUGCUCGAAAGAGUGAACUAGCUAACUGAAAUCAAUUAAAAAUUAAAAUAAUUGAUAACAUAAGGGAAAAUAAUGAUAUUACCUUAUUAUUAGUGUCGUCCAAAUCUGGUGCCAGAAGACUCGGUAAGGCCAGAGACACAAACGUUAAUCGUCUUAAUCAGGCGUAAAGGGUUUGUAGGCGGCUUUAAAUUUUAUUUAUUAAAAAAUAAGUAAAGAAUAAAAGCUAGAAUCAAAUAGAGGAUAUAUGAAAUAAUGCUUAGAGUAGGUCCGAUAUCCUUAGAUACUAAGUAGAAUAUUAAAGGCGAAAGCUUUUUUCCAUUAAUGAUUGACGCUGAGAAACGAAGGUGAGGAUAGGAAAUAGGAUUAGAUACCCAAAAUACCCCUCUCUGUCAACGAUGAAUGGUAGUUAUUAAUACAAAUUAUUAAUGGCAAUGUUAACACGAUAACCAUUCCGCCUUGUGAGUACAACUGCAAAGUUGAAAACAAAAAAAUUAGUCGGUUUCGGAGCAAACGAAGUGAAGCAUGUUAUUUAAUUC